rnacentral:rRNA from 1 species
GACGAACGCUGGCGGCGUGCCUAACACAUGCCAGUCGAACGGAACCGUUUUGAAAGAUUUCUUCGGAAUGAAUUUGAUUUAGUUUAGUGGCGGACGGGUGAGUAACGCGUGAGUAACCUGCCUUCAAGAGGGGAAUAACAUUCUGAAAAGAAUGCUAAUACCGCAUGACAUAUCGGAACCACAUGGUUUUGAUAUCAAAGAUUUUAUCGCUUGAAGAUGGACUCGCGUCCGAUUAGUUAGUUGGUGAGGUAACGGCUCACCAAGACCGCGAUCGGUAGCCGGACUGAGAGGUUGAACGGCCACAUUGGGACUGAGACACGGCCCAGACUCCUACGGGAGGCAGCAGUGGGGGAUAUUGCGCAAUGGGGGCAACCCUGACGCAGCAACGCCGCGUGAAGGAUGAAGGUUUUCGGAUUGUAAACUUCUUUUAUUAAGGACGAAAAAUGACGGUACUUAAUGAAUAAGCUCCGGCUAACUACGUG